rnacentral:misc_RNA from 1 species
GAUGAUGAUGGACAAGAAUCCAAUCAAGAGAAGAGGAGGAGCCAAAUUGAGCCUCGUGAAGACUGCCCUUAUCUUGAUUGGAUUCUUGUCCAUCAUCAUCAAUUUUGCUCAGUCUCUUUAUCAAACCUGAAUGUAUAUGCGUGCUUGGUUUGUGGGAAAUAUUACCAAGGGAGAGGGAAGAAAUCCCAUGCAUACACUCAUAGCCUUGAAGCAGGACAUCAUGUCUACAUUAAUCUUCAGACUGAGAAAGUUUACUGCCUUCCUGAUGGAUAUGAAAUUAUUGACCCAUCACUGGAUGACAUACGGCAUGUUUUGAACCCAAGGUUUACUAGGGAUCAGGUUGAACAACUUGACAAAAACAGACAAUGGUCCAGGGCACUUGAUGGGUCUGAUUACCUUCCCGGAAUGGUGGGCCUGAAUAACAUUAAAGAGACUGAUUUUGUUAAUGUCACUAUUCAGUCUCUAAUGAGAGUUACACCCUUAAGAAAUUUCUUCCUUAUCCCUGAAAACUAUCAGCAUUGCAGAUCUCCUCUUGUUCAUCGCUUUGGAGAACUCACGCGGAAGAUAUGGCAUGCUAGGAACUUUAAAGGACAGGUGAGCCCGCAUGAGUUUCUCCAAGCAGUUAUGAAAGCCAGUAAAAAACGGUUUCGCAUAGGACAGCAGUCUGAUCCUGUGGAGUUCAUGGCAUGGCUUCUUAAUACACUACAUGCAGAUCUCAGAACUUUAAAGAAAAACAACAGCAUCAUUUACGAGUGCUUUCAGGGGGAGCUGGAAGUUGUAAAAGAGACUCCUAGCAAAGUUAUCACUGAUAAGAAGGAAAAUGGUGAUGACCAGAAUAGCAUUCAAAAAAGUACUGAUGGUGGGAAUGAACAUGAUGAUGUUGUCACAGAAACUUCUAGAAUGCCAUUCUUGAUGCUUGGACUAGAUUUGCCACCACCACCUCUAUUUAAAGAUGUGAUGGAAAAGAAUAUAAUACCCCAGGUUCCUCUGUUCAAUAUACUAAAGAAAUUUGAUGGUGAGACAGUGACUGAAGUUGUCCGCCCCCGUGUAGCCCGGAUGAAAUACCGAGUCACUAGAUUGCCACACUAUCUAAUACUUCACAUGCAACGGUUUAAAAAGAACAACUUCUUUAUUGAGAAAAAUCCAACCUUAGUCAACUUUCCUGUGAAGAACCUGGAACUGAAGGAUUAUAUACCUUUGCCAAUGCCUAAGGAGAAUGAGAGAUUGCGCUCAAAGUAUGAUUUGAUUGCCAAUAUUGUUCAUGAUGGAAAACCCAAGGAGGGAUUCUACAGAGUUUUUGUGCAGCGGAAAUCAGAGGAGCUAUGGUAUGAGAUGCAGGAUUUGCAUGUUUCUGAAACUCUGCCUCAAAUGGUUGCCCUAUCUGAGGCAUAUGUGCAGAUAUAUGAGCAGCAGCAGUAGCAUAGCAUUUAGAGGAAAUCUGAUUGUUGUCUGUAAUUAUAGGUACAAGAAUUUUAUUACUUCUACAAAUGGUUGCUAGGAGAUCAGAAUGAGAAGACUUGAGUUAGGGAAAAUAUUGAAUUUUGGUCGUGCCAAACUUUGAAGUUUCCUAUUUGGUGAAAGUGAAAGCAUCAUUAAUAGUAAACUUCAAAGUUUGGCACGACCAAAAUU